rnacentral:lncRNA from 1 species
AGACCGUCACGGUGACUUGCAAGCAACUCACUGCACUUGGCACUGGACUACCUGAAUUUCUAAUUCAGUGAUGGAAGGCUGCUUGGUGUAGUCAAGUACUUGACUUGUCGGUGCGUGUGUCAAGAUGGGAUUGACCACUCCAGUUUAGGAGCUGUGUACAGUCAUGUUUCAAUUUAGCAAAAUCUUGGCCAGGGUAGUCCUUGUGAGGAGUCACAGGACUAUUUGAGUUG